rnacentral:rRNA from 1 species
GUCGAACGCUGGCGGCGUGCUUAACACAUGCAAGUCGAACGAUGUGGCGAACGGGUGAGUAACGCGUAAUCAACCUGCCCUUCAGAGGGGGACAACAGUUGGAAACGACUGCUAAUACCGCAUACUGAAGGAGGGGAUUGCGUCUGAUUCGCGAGUUGGAGGGGUAACGUGCCACCAAGGCGAUGAUCAGUAGCCGGUCUGGGAGGAUGGACUGCCACAAUGGGACUUAGAAACGGGCCAGACUGCUACGGGAGGCAGCAGUGGGGAAACUUCCGCAAUGGGCGAAAGUCUGACGGAGCAACGCCGCGUGAGUGAUGGCGGCCUUCGGGUUGUAAAGCUCUGUUAAUCGGGACGCGGUACCGGAAUAGAAAGCCACGGCUAACUACGUGCCAGCAGCCGCGGUAAUAC